GUCCUCCUACUCAACUCCUAUUCCGGCACGUCCACGUCGUGCAGAGCGGUAACAUGCGUUACUAGGGGUGCAAGAGUCCGCAGCGGCUCUUUCUGCUGCACUAGUUGCAUCAGAUGGUAACGCAUGGCUAAGCCGGAAAGGGGGAGACAGGCCAAUAAAUUAGUGCUGGAAAUUUGUUGGUUCUGGCUUCUGUAAAUAGUGUAAAGUCCACAGUUCCUGCUGUACGAAGUAGUGAGGCUCAGCAUCCCGGCCUAACCUUCAACGGCAAACGAAAAAACAGCGGAGCUAAUCAAUAAUUACUAUUUUCAAACUGUUCCAAGUGUUCUGGAGCGUACAAUUUUAAUGAUUGGAGAGGUUCAACAAAACACCAACCCCAAUGGCCAGCAAUUUGUUGGGGUUUGUGGAACAAAAUCUUCACCAGUGAAGCGAUCAAUGUUUAAGAACCAGAGCUGACAGCAAAUUGAAGACAUCCUGCACUGGAUCCGUCACCUUUUCAAAAAUCGGUUUCCCUACCCUUUGAUACAAACUUUUCCUGCGACUAGUACUGCUCAACCAUUCAUCGACCAACGGCUUCAAAAGAUCAACCUAAACGCGAUCAACCAUCUGUCCUCAACCAACUAAACAUUACAUUCAACUCUGUAAUUCAACAAUCAAUCGCCAAACCGAUCAACCCGCAACGCUUAGUUGUGAUAAGGUAUAGUGGUACCCCGCUCAUAAAAAGCA